GACGAACGCUGGCGGCGUGCUUAACACAUGCAAGUCGAACGGAAAGGCCCUGCUUUUGUGGGGUGCUCGAGUGGCGAACGGGUGAGUAACACGUGAGUAACCUGCCCUUGACUUUGGGAUAACUUCAGGAAACUGGGGCUAAUACCGGAUAGGAGCUCCUGCUGCAUGGUGGGGGUUGGAAAGUUUCGGCGGUUGGGGAUGGACUCGCGGCUUAUCAGCUUGUUGGUGGGGUAGUGGCUUACCAAGGCUUUGACGGGUAGCCGGCCGGAGAGGGUGACCGGCCACAUGGGGACGGGGAUACGGCCCAGACUCCUACGGGGGGCAGCGGUGGGAAUAUUGCACAAUGGGCGGAAGCCUGAUGCAGCAACGCCGCGUGCGGGAUGACGGCCUUCGGGUUGUAAACCGCUUUCGCCUGUGACGAAGCGUGAGUGACGGUAAUGGGUAAAGAAGCACCGGCUAACUACGUG
rnacentral:rRNA from 1 species